rnacentral:rRNA from 1 species
GCAGCGAAGUCGCGAGGCGGAGCAAAUCUCAAAAACCGGUCCCAGUUCGGACUGCAGGCUGCAACCCGCCUGCACGAAGCCGGAGUUGCUAGUAAUCGCGAAUCAGAAUGUCGCGGUGAAUGCGUUCCCGGGCCUUGUACACACCGCCCGUCAAGCCAUGGGAGCCGGGGGCGCCUGAAGUCCGGGACCGCGAGGACCGGCCUAGGGCGAAACUGGUAACUGGGGCUAAGUCGUAACAAGGUAUC